AACAUAUAAUCAGUUUGAAUUAAUUUAAAUCCAAGAUUAUCCCAAUCAAAAAUAUCCCUUGAUUCAUAAUCCCUAUAAGUUGAAGGUUGUGCAGAAGUUAGAGCAGGGGCAGUAAAGUACCUUGGUCCUACCUUCUUCUCAAAAGAAGUAAAUAGAGCCCUUUGAAAGGAUGAAGCCCUUUGGAUGAUCAUGUUGCACAAGAA
rnacentral:misc_RNA from 1 species